rnacentral:rRNA from 1 species
AUUGAACGCUGGCGGCAUGCCUUACACAUGCAAGUCGAACGGCAGCGCGGGAGCAAUCCUGGCGGCGAGUGGCGAACGGGUGAGUAAUAUAUCGGAACGUGCCCAGUAGUGGGGGAUAGCCCGGCGCAAGCCGGAUUAAUACCGCAUACGACCUACGGGUGAAAGGGGGGGAUCGCAAGACCUCUCGCUAUUGGAGCGGCCGAUAUCAGAUUAGGUAGUUGGUGGGGGAAAGGCCUACCAAGCCUGCGAUCUGGAGUUGGUCUGAGAGGACGACCAGCCACACUGGGACUGAGACACGGCCCAGACUCCUACGGGAGGCAGCAGUGGGGAAUUUUGGACAAUGGGCGCAAGCCUGAUCCAGCAAUGCCGCGUGCAGGAAGAAGGCCUUCGGGUUGUAAACUGCUUUUGUCAGGGAAGAAAUCCUCUAGGCUAAUACCUUGGGGGGAUGACGGUACCUGAAGAAUAAGCACCGGCUAACUACGUGCCAGCCGCCGCUGUAAUAC